GGGCAAGAGACAUGGACCACAGCGUCAGUCCCACCGGUCCAGCGCCGCGGACCAACCGCGUCAGCGGGGAUUUGUUACCGACAAGCGGGACUGUCAAGGCGGGCAGCGGCUUGAUGCUACCUGCUAGCUGACGGCACUCUGCCCUUGGCUCUGUCCUUGCAUCUGAAGAUGCUGCCCCUUGGAAUGCCGUUGUGCCUGGCUGUCUCUGUCCAUCUCCUGCUGCUAAAUAAGUAAAGGCUGCUCUGAGUUUCUGUGAAACCUGGUCUUCUCCAGGCUGAACAAGUCCAGUUCACCCAGCCGUUUCUUACACA